rnacentral:sRNA from 1 species
UUGUAAGAUGCAAUAACUUUGCUCAUGAAACUUAUAAAAGUCGUAAUCUGAUUAUAUCAAUGUGUCUGUUUAUGUGCAAUAUAAAGAACCUGGUAAAACUGUCCAGGUUCUUUUUUGA